GUCAGAGAAAGCAGGAUAAACGGUGAGACAAGCCAAGAUUCGUUAACCAGACAAUCAAACAGAAUACACGCGCUUUUGGGCUAUCAGAAUACCACAACCGGGCAACAAGAAACGGAAGAGGGAGGUUUAAAUAUGAUUAGGAGGCUUCUGAUUGACUAACUUUCCCUUGGAAUUAAUUAUGACACGUGGAAGGUAUUUGGGCCUUCCACUUUGACGUAUGGCAUCAUAUUUGCUUGCUGAGUCAUUUGACUGACUCGGGCGCCUAUUGAAGCACGCUGCACACAAGCGCGCAGCAUCAG